UACGUAGGCAGCAAGCGUUGUUCGGAGUUACUGGGCGUAAAGGGUGUGUAGGCGGUUGUUUAAGUUUGGUGUGAAAUCUCCCGGCUCAACUGGGAGGGUGCGCCGAAUACUGAAUGACUAGAGUGCGGGAGAGGAAAGUGGAAUUCCUGGUGUAGCGGUGAAAUGCGUAGAUAUCAGGAGGAACACCGGUGGUGUAAACGGCUUUCUGGACCGUAACUGACGCUGAAACACGAAAGCGUGGGGAGCAAACAGG
rnacentral:rRNA from 1 species